rnacentral:rRNA from 1 species
UACGGGGGGAGCGAGCGUUGUUCGGAUUUACUGGGCGUAAAGGGCGCGUAGGCGGCGUGGUAAGUCACUUGUGAAAUCUCCGAGCUUAACUCGGAACGGUCAAGUGAUACUGCUGUGCUAGAGUGCGGAAGGGGCAACUGGAAUUCUCGGUGUAGCGGUGAAAUGCGUAGAUAUCGAGAGGAACACCUGCGGCGAAGGCGGGUUGCUGGGCCGACACUGACGCUGAGGCGCGAAAGCUAGGGGAGCGAACGGG